GGCGGCGGUGCUUAACACAUGCAAAGUCGCACGGAGAAAGGUUCAGCUUGCUGAAGCUAGUAAAGUGGCGCACGGGUGAGUAACGCGUGGGUAAUCUACCCUUAAAUUGGGGAUAACAUUGCGAAAGCGAUGCUAAUACCGAAUAAUAUCUUGAGAACCUCGGUUUUUAAGAUCAAAGGUGGCCUCUACAUGAAAGCUUCUGUUUGGGGAUGAGCCCGCGUACCAUUAGCUCGUUGGUAGGGUAAUGGCCUACCAAGGCUACGAUGGUUAGCUGGUCUGAGAGGAUGAUCAGCCACACUGGAACUGACACACGGUCCAGACUCCUACGGGAGGCAGCAGUGAGGAAUUUUGCGCAAUGGGGGAAACCCUGACGCAGCAACGCCGCGUGAGUGAUGAAGGCUUUCGGGUCGUAAAGCUCUGUCAAGUGGGAAGAACCCACAUGGUGAUAAUACCGCCAUGUGUUGACGGUACCACUGAAGGAAGCACCGGCUAACUCCGUGCCAGCAGCCGCGGUAAUACGGGGGGUGCAAGCGUUAUUCGGAUUUACUGGGCGUAAAGAGCGUGUAGGCGGUUUAGUAAGUCGGACGUGAAAGCUCCCGGCUCAACUGGGAGAGGCCGUUCGAUACUGCUGGACUUGAGGGCAGUAGAGGGAGGUGGAAUUCCGGGUGUAGCGGUGAAAUGCGUAGAUAUCCGGAGGAACACCAGUGGCGAAGGCGGCCUCCUGGACUGUCCCUGACGCUAAGACGCGAAAGCUAGGGUAGCAAACGGGAUUAGAAACCCCGGUAGUCCUAGCUGUAAACGAUGCAGACUUGGUGUUGGUGGCGUAAGAACCAUCAGUGCCGCAGCUAACGCGAUAAGUCUGCCGCCUGGGACUACGACCGCAAGGUUAAAACUCAAAGGAAUUGACGGGGACCCGCACAAGCAGCGGAGCGUGUGGUUUAAUUCGAGGCUACGCGAAGAACCUUACCUGGGCUUGACAUGCAUGUAGUAGGAAUCCGAAAGGUGACCGACCCCUCGGGGAGCUUGCACAGGUGCUGCAUGGCUGUCGUCAGCUCGUGCCGUGAGGUGUCCGGUUAAGUCCGGUAACGAGCGCAACCCUUACUCUGUGUUAUACGUGUCACAGGGGACUGCCGGUAUAAAGCCGGAGGAAGGUGGGGAUGACGUCAAGUCAGCAUGGCCUUUAUGUCCAGGGCUACACACACGCUACAAUGGCCGGUACAAUGGGUUGCUAAGCCGCGAGGCGGAGCCAAUCCUCCAAAGCCGGUCUCAGUUCGGAUUGUAGGCUGCAACUCGCCUGCAUGAAGCCGGAGUUGCUAGUAACCGCAGGACAGCUAUACUGCGGUGAAUACGUUCCCGGGUCUUGUUCACACCGCCCGUCACGUCAUGGGAGCUGGCAACACCUGAAGUCGGUGACCUAACCGCAAGGAAGGAACCGCCGAAGGUGGGGCUGGUGACUGGGACGAAGUCGUAACAAGGUAACC
rnacentral:rRNA from 1 species